rnacentral:rRNA from 1 species
AUACGGAGGGUGCAAGCGUUACUCGGAAUCACUGGGCGUAAAGCGCGCGCAGGCGGGCUGAUAAGUUGGAUGUGAAAGCCUACGGCUCAACCGUAGAACUGCAUCCAAAACUGUCAGUCUAGAGUCUGCGAGGGGAAGAUGGAAUUAGUUGUGUAGGGGUAAAAUCCGUAGAGAUAACUAGGAAUACCAAAAGCGAAGGCGAUCUUCUGGAACAGUACUGACGCUGAGGCGCGAAAGCGUGGGGAGCAAACAGGAUUAGAAACCCCAGUAGUCC